AAUGGACACUUCGCAAUUAACAUAUGUUGGAGGCACUGGGAUCAUUAUGUCAAAUCGAGAUUCCCCAAAUAUUGCAGCACAUAAAAGUUUUAGACAACGAAGAUGAAUAAAACUGAUUAUAUUACGAAUUACACUUGAAUAUUUGUAAAAUUAUGAAGUAGUUCAAAAGGACUCUGAAUAAUUUGUCCGGUUCCUGAUGGACGUUGAAUAACGUGGGCAAUGCAGUGUCAAGGUAAUUGAAGUCAUUGUACUGAUCCAAGCUCUCUGUCUGCAUUACCACCUUCAAGAACGUACGUCAACUCAUCGAUCAAAGAAAUACGCCCGUCUUUAAAACUGUAAAAUGCAAUGACUUUGAUUCUGCUGGACUCGCCAGAGGAACGUAUCGCAUGGGCAAUAUGCACAGUGGCAGCCUUGUUACCUUGACAGACAAUUUGUUGAACGUUGAUGUCGAGCCGAUGAAGAUGGGUACGUAGUGCUUUGGCAUGAGAAAUAAAAUCGUCAAGUGUCAAUUCACGUCCAUCGACAAGCUGUCGAUAAUCUGGCGUUAAAAAUCCUCUAAGUGACUCAACGUCAGUACUAAAAUCCGUAAAUGCCUUAAACAGUUGCCGGAUGAACGAUUCUGAGUCUUGCGACAUUCGGAAAAAAUUUUUGGUGAUUAAGAGUGGGAAACAUAGGGUAAUGUGUCGCACAGUACUGUAAGUUAGGUUGAUGUAACUCAAAACUGAAAUAACAAAUCAAGUUUAGCUAUUUUUAAUCUUACCUCUAAAUAGUCGAUAUCAACAUAUACUUUUAAUCAUGCAAAGGUAAGUAAUACUACAAUGCGUUACACACGUUUUUUUUUAAAUCACACAUCAUUAGACAUUGGUGAAAAAAAAACCCCACUAAUUUUUAAAAAUUUUUUAUUUUUUUUUGGAAUUAGAUAACAAGUGUGUUUUUCCCUUCAAAUUCGACAAACAGAAUUAUUCAUUAUGACGACCCCAAGUUACGAAAAAAAAGAGGUUUAAAUUUGAAAUGGUUAAAUUCCUACUAGCUGGUAUAAUCCUCCUAAUAAAUUGUAUGAUAACCGUUUAGAGUACAUUUAAUAUUUAACUGAGUCAUUAUUCACAUAACCAGUUGAGUAGUUGAUAAAAUCCUUGGAGGUCUGAUUUAUAACGAGCUGCUCUUGCUCAUCAAUAUUUAUGUUUUAA